CUGGUUGAUUACAUGUCGUCACCAAAGAUGCCAAUCAUUAUGAUUUUAAGCCAAAAACUAAGCUAUUUCAGUUGACGGGACAUUUGUAUUUGUCAUUUUUUUCUAAGAUUACUCAUAUGUGUAAGAAAUAAUGGUGAGUAGGUCAUUUACACAGAAGUGUCCCAAAGCACACUCCAGUGAGACUAACUGAGAGGGGGCGGUCGGGUAGCCUAGUCGUUAAAGCAUUCGCUCAUCAUGCCAAGGACCUGGCUCCGAUUCCCCACAUGGGUACAAUGUGUGAAGCCCAUUUCUGGUUUCCUCCACAGUGAUAUUUCUGAAAUACUGUUAAAAUUUGCGUAAAACUACAUUGACUGACUCACUCACUAAAUGAGAGCCAUACUUUAUAUUUAUAUCAUGCUAAAAUAUCCAUUACUCAGCAAUUAUUGACGUUACACACUCAAGUCAAGUUCAUCAUUGGAUCUUUGCAGGUUCAGAAGGGAGUGAGUGAGUUGGUUUUACGCCGCUUUUAGCAAUAUUCCAGCAAUAUCACGGUGGGGGAACACCAGAAAUGGGCUUCACGCAUUGUACCCAUGUGGGGAAUCGAUUUCAGGGCUUCGGCAUGAGGAGCGAACGCUUUAACCACUAGGCUACCCCACCGCCCCUUCAGACAGGGAACAACAGGUACUGUUAACCUCGCCUGAACAACUGAACAAAACUACUAAAAUCUUAUUGAUUACUUCUAAGUUCCGCAGUUUGGCAUCUCUGCAUCACACCCACCAGCAUGGAUAGUUGCUCAUGACAUCAACCACUGGUUUAUCAGAGUUGCCUUAUUCCUGCUGAUUCAAACAGCUGUAAUAUUGCUGAUCUCAGCACAUGGCUCUGUUAGUCUCAUGAUUAGAUGAGGGGCGUCAGUCAUGAUUAGAUGAUUUCAAAAGUUGGUUCAUUUGUCAUUGUUCAAGUUAGAUCUCAAAAAGUCUGGAUCUUAAAAGUAAUCUGUAUUUCAUGUAUAAGCUGUUCCUAGCUUGAUUUUCAUUGUUAUAUAGGUACAGUGGUUAUUCUGAUAUUCACUUCAUGCACCUUAUCCUAUUUGGUGUUAUGGUCCUUAUGUUUAGAAAAAGAUGUGUAUUGAAUAUAUAUCUGUAUGUAUAAAUAAAGCUUCAAUUUGA